rnacentral:rRNA from 1 species
CCUACGGGGGGCAGCAGUGGGGAAUAUUGCACAAUGGGGGAAACCCUGAUGCAGCAACGCCGCGUGAGCGAUGAAGGCCUUCGGGUCGUAAAGCUCUGUCCUAAGGGAAGAAUACUGACGGUACCUUAGGAGGAAGCCCCGGCUAACUACGUGCCAGCAGCCGCGGUAAUACGUAGGGGGCUAGCGUUAUCCGGAAUUACUGGGCGUAAAGGGUGCGUAGGCGGCCCUUCAAGUCAGAGGUGAAAGGCUACGGCUCAACCGUAGUAAGCCUUUGAAACUGUAGGGCUUGAGUGCAGGAGAGGAGGGUGGAAUUCCCAGUGUAGCGGUGAAAUGCGUAGAUAUUGGGGGGAACACCAGUGGGGAGGGCGGCGCUCUGGACUUUACCUGACGCGGGGGCACAAAAGGGUGGGGGGCGAAAAGGAUUAGAUACCCUGGUAGUC